rnacentral:rRNA from 1 species
UCCACCGAUUGACUAAGGUUUCCAGAGGAAGGCUCGUCCGCUCUGGGUUAGUCGGGUCCUAAGCUGAGGCCGACAGGCGUAGGCGAUGGAUAACAGGUUGAUAUUCCUGUACCACCUAUAAUCGUUUUAAUCGAUGGGGGGACGCAGUAGGAUAGGCGAAGCGUGCGAUUGGAUUGCACGUCUAAGCAGUAAGGCUGAGUAUUAGGCAAAUCCGGUACUCGUUAAGGCUGAGCUGUGAUGGGGAGAAGACAUUGUGUCUUCGAGUCGUUGAUUUCACACUGCCGAGAAAAGCCUCUAGAUAGAAAAUAGGUGCCCGUACCGCAAACCGACACAGGUAGUCAAGAUGAGAAUUCUAAGGUGAGCGAGCGAACUCUCGUUAAGGAACUCGGCAAAAUGACCCCGUAACUUCGGGAGAAGGGGUGCUCUUUAGGGUUAACGCCCAGAAGAGCCGCAGUGAAUAGGCCCAAGCGACUGUUUAUCAAAAACACAGGUCUCUGCUAAA